GAUGAACGCUGGCGGCGUGCCUAAUACAUGCAAGUCGAGCGAACGGACGAGAAGCUUGCUUCUCUGAUGUUAGCGGCGGACGGGUGAGUAACACGUGGAUAACCUACCUAUAAGACUGGGAUAACUUCGGGAAACCGGAGCUAAUACCGGAUAAUAUUUUGAACCGCAUGGUUCAAAAGUAAAAGACGGUCUUGCUGUCACUUAUAGAUGGAUCCGCGCUGCAUUAGCUAGUUGGUAAGGUAACGGCUUACCAAGGCAACGAUGCAUAGCCGACCUGAGAGGGUGAUCGGCCACACUGGAACUGAGACACGGUCCAGACUCCUACGGGAGGCAGCAGUAGGGAAUCUUCCGCAAUGGGCGAAAGCCUGACGGAGCAACGCCGCGUGAGUGAUGAAGGUCUUCGGAUCGUAAAACUCUGUUAUUAGGGAAGAACAUAUGUGUAAGUAACUGUGCACAUCUUGACGGUACCUAAUCAGAAAGCCACGGCUAACUACGUGCCAGCAGGCGCGGGUAUACCGUAGGUGCAAGCGUUAUCGGAAAUAUUGGGCGUAAGCGCGCGUAGGCGGUUUUUUAGUCUGAUGUGAAAGCCCACGGCUCAACCGUGGAGGGUCAUUGGAAACUGGAAAACUUGAGUGCAGAAGAGGAAAGUGGAAUUCCAUGUGUAGCGGUGAAAUGCGCAGAGAUAUGGAGGAACACCAGUGGCGAAGGCGACUUUCUGGUCUGUAACUGACGCUGAUGUGCGAAAGCGUGGGGAUCAAACAGGAUUAGAUACCCUGGUAGUCCACGCCGUAAACGAUGAGUGCUAAGUGUUAGGGGGUUUCCGCCCCUUAGUGCUGCAGCUAACGCAUUAAGCACUCCGCCUGGGGAGUACGACCGCAAGGUUGAAACUCAAAGGAAUUGACGGGGACCCGCACAAGCGGUGGAGCGUGUGGUUUAACUCGAAGCAACGCGAAGAACCUUACCAAAUCUUGACAUCCUUUGACAACUCUAGAGAUAGAGCCUUCCCCUUCGGGGGACAAGGUGACAGGUGGUGCAUGGUUGUCGUCAGCUCGUGUCGUGAGAUGUUGGGUUAAGUCCCGCAACGAGCGCAACCCUUAAGCUUAGUUGCCAUCAUUAAGUUGGGCACUCUAAGUUGACUGCCGGUGACAAACCGGAGGAAGGUGGGGAUGACGUCAAAUCAUCAUGCCCCUUAUGAUUUGGGCUACACACGUGCUACAAUGGACAAUACAAAGGGCAGCGAAACCGCGAGGUCAAGCAAAUCCCAUAAAGUUGUUCUCAGUUCGGAUUGUAGUCUGCAACUCGACUACAUGAAGCUGGAAUCGCUAGUAAUCGUAGAUCAGCAUGCUACGGUGAAUACGUUCCCGGGUCU
rnacentral:rRNA from 1 species